rnacentral:lncRNA from 1 species
ACAUCCGAUUGAGCAUCCAAUAGCGGUUUCGGAGGCCUGCGGGGCAAACUGAUAGCGCGAAUAUUUAACAAACCUAACAACUUUUCCGUUCGGAUUAUGAAACAAUCGUUGUACUUUAAAAGCUUAAGCUUUUAGAGAACGGUGUUUUAAACAUUUUUAUAUUUAACACUGCCCCUCAUGGCCGGGCUCGAAACUUUUUAGUUGGCUCGUGACGUGA